AUUUCUGCUUGUUUUACCAGGUGGCGUCACUGACUCUAUACACAAAGUAUCGAACCUGGAAAGCCAAGUUAACAUAAUGACAGCAAAUGUAUCAGCAAGGACACAUAUUGCAUGACUUGCAGACCAGCCAAGCAAGAAUUGAAAGGUACGGGAGGAAGUGGGGACUUGGCUGUCUACUGGAUGUCCCUUUGUUAAAAAAAGAACUGUAAGAAACUGUAUGACAAAUGUUUUUCAAGUUUGUUCGUUUGAACCGUUCUUGAAAGAUUAAAUAUUUCCAAUGAAA